ACAUCGAAAAAUUUCAAAUAUGACAUUAGAAUAGAAAUUGUUUUAUGAGAUUGUUAUUAUAAUUAUUUUGUAUUUGCUUUACAAACGAAAUUGAUAUUUGAAAGCUUUUAUUUCACAUUGUAAUAGGUACUGCAUUUAUUUUAACUCAUUCCUUAAGCAGCUAUGAAAUAAAUAAAUAAGUUGGUUAACAUGAGAACAGACGACCGUGUGUGUAUGUUAUGACUUAUAAGAUAUAAAAAUGCGAUAUGCAUUUAAAAUUAAAAUCAAUUUCGCCUACACGUAUCACUACAAAAAAAACGUUUAGAACUCAGAGUGUAAGUUUGCGUAACUUUAGUAGCCUUGAUGUCGUUUUUAAACUUUAUAUUUAAAAAAAAUAAACUAAUAAUAAAACGCAAGUGCAAUAGUCGUACGUAAACUUACAUUUCGGUUUUAGUAUAAAUCUUUGAAAAUAUAGCACAUUAUAUACAGUUCGUAUAAAAUAUUAUGUCUAUUAAAACAAAGUAAUAAAGGUCUUUUAUUAUAAAACUUUAGAAAAAUUUACUCCGGUUCCUAUAACAUAGUUUUAUGUACUUUCUUAAGGGGGUGAUACACGUACGAACUUAAAGAUCGCGGAUUUUAAGAUAGCGAACUUAAUCGGCUCGACGUUCACCGACACCGACACACGUGAAGCUUACUCACUCUAUAUUGCGAUUCGGUUAAAAUUGGUGGCUCGCGGCUCGCCUUGCUGCCACACGCACGAUCGCAGGCGGGUUACGAGCAAAGUUUCAAACUUGUCGGAUCGCCAACGAACUUACUCGGCGGUUAUAAAGUACGCGUACUUGGGGUGACACACUAGCGAAAAAGGUCGUGGAGCCACAAGUUCGCGAACUUACUCGCACGUCUAUCACCCCCUUUAGAAUCGUAAAAUCUAUAGAAAUAUUUUAGAACUGAAAAAAUGUUUAAUAUAGAAAUUGACCACUAUUUAAUAUUUUUAAGGUAAGUUAGUCUCCAUUUUCAGACAACACCAAUUGUAUCAAUUCUUACUAAAUACUUCUAAGAAAAAAUAAUAUAUACACUAUUACUGAUUUUCAAAUAUACCUAAUAUUAUUUUACUCAAAUGGUGUCAAUGCCAUUGCUGAACAAAAGUGUGUUCAUAAGAAACAAUAUUGGUAUGGGGCGAUAAACGAUAUGGGGCCUUAUUGGUCUUUUUUGUAUAAAAUUAAUCAUUUUUCAACUACUUUGAUGUGUUUUUUUAUUGACCCUUAUCGUUAAAACAUCACAUGAUACAAAAUUUGAUAAUAAAAUAGGUAAAUAAAAAAAAAAAAUAGGAUUUUUUUGUAAUAUCAUUGUGGUGUACAAUAAAGUAUAAGAAUAAAAAAAUAAAAUUAAAUAAAUAAAUAUAUCCGAAAAAUAUUAGGUCUACAUUGUAAGUAUGAUAAUACUCAAUACUCAUCAUUUAUGAAAAGAAAUGUAACUUAAAAACAAAAUUAAUGUAUUAUCAUCACCAAUAAUGUCGUGGACAAAAUAUCGCUAUAACGGUCAAUGAUAAGACACUAUUACAGCUAAGUAUUAAAAGAGCUUUCAGAUGUCACAAAACUUUUAUCUAACAGAAUAGUAGACCUACAGAUAUACCAUUUAAACUCAAAGUUAUUUAAAAUUUAUUAAUAUUUUUAAUUUGUAAGAAUAUUUAUUAAACACAAAUGAAUAAAGUUCUCUGUUUAAUAUCAAAAAUCAGAAUAAUCUAAAUUAUUAUUAAACAAGUUGGCUGUAAACAAGAGGCGUUUAAUUAAACCACACACCUUUAUACUACAGACAAAAAAUCAGUCAAAUACAAUCUACUGCUUCUAGUAGUUCUUCUUCAACUUGUAAAUUGAUUGCUGUCCAAACUAUUGUAAUAAUUUGACUUAAUUUUUUGUACCUGCAUACUUAAUGGUAUGCUGUAUAAUGUAAUGUCUUUCGCUUGUAUCCAUGUGUGCAAUUAUUAUGAGUAUGUGGAUCUUUAUUAUAGUAUUUAAAAAAAAUAUAUAUUAAUCGUAUAAAUUUAUAAAAAAAAGAAAAUGCUACGAAUGUGACACAUAGAGAAUAAUAUAACAUUAGGGAAUGUAUGUAUAGGUCGGAAAUAAGAUUUUUCUGAUAUUUUUUGAUAUUAAAUUAAUAUGAUACAUAUGGAUGAUAUAUUUUUAGUUCUAACAAAUAGACUGGUGCAUAGUUCCAUAGAUAAAAUUAACUCGUACGAUUUAGGUUCGCACAAAUAAAUAUUGUUUUAAAAUAAAAUGCCUUACUCAA